ensembl:lncRNA
AUGAGUAUGAAACAGCUGUACCGUAUACCAUUCCAAAGGAAUGAGGACAGAGUUAAGGAGCUACGGUACCAGUAUGUACAGCGUAUAAUGGAGUUGGAAUCAAGUGAACCCUCUCACAACUUUGUAUACGUGGAUGAGGCUGGCUUCAACCUGACCAAAUGCAGAAGGCGGGGUCGGAAUGUCAUCGGUCACAGAGCUACUGUGGAUUUGCCAGGCCAAAGGGGAGGAAAUAUCACCAUGUGUGCUGCUAUUUCGGAGCAUGGCGUCCUAACCCAUAUCCCCCUUAUAGGGCCAUACAACACCCAGCAUCUACUCAACUUUUUAGAGACUCUCUACAGGGCUCUCAUCCCUGAUGAUGAGAGGGGUCUUUUUUAAAGAGAGGAUUUGCCAAAGUAUGUGGUCAUUUGUGAUAAUGUGAGUUUCCAUCGAUCAAACAUCAUAAGGCAAUGGUUUGUGACCCACCCGAGGAUGCUCAUAGAAUUCCUCCCACCUUAUUCACCAUUCCUUAACCCAAUUGAGGAGUUCUUUUCAGCAUGGAGGUGGAAGGUGUACGAUCGUCAGCCACACACACAGAUGACCCUGCUGGCUGCAAUGGAUGCAGCAUGUGAGGACAUCACAGUAGACGCCUGCAGAGGAUGGAUAAGGCAUUCCAAAAGAUUCUUUCCACGUUGCAUUGGAAGGGAAAAUAUCCGGUGUGAUGUGGAUGAGAAUAUGUGGGCCGACAGACAGGAACGUCUGGAUGUGUAGAGACAGCACUAGAACAGUGCUGCGGGCAAAGUUGUGCCUUAGGGGUGUUUACUGUGUUUCUUUCUAAUUUAGUUUUUAUUUUCCUUUGUGCCCCUUGUCUUUUUCUUACUGUAAAUUAUUUUGUUGUUUUCUUUCAUAAAGUAGCACUAGUAAAAGCUGUGAAAAACAAAAUCUCUUUUGUCUCUUUCAAUCAAUAACCACAUACAGUAAUAUGUAAAUGGUACUGUUGAAAUUGAUAUAUGCCAUAGAAGUGCAGCCUUGUGCAUUUUCAAUACAGUAACUGUCAUCCAAACUGUAGCCUAAGUUUACAUCUGGUAAUACUGUCAAAGUACACAGUUACAUUGACAACAUGCCUAAACAUUUUGACGAGCUUGUUCGUGAACAAUGACUCAAUGACUUAUCAUUCUGAUGGCACUGACAUGAUCGUUGGCAUGAAUAUUUACUUUUGAGAGAUGUACUAAGGAUUUUUAGUGACUGACUAGCUUUAGAAACAUAUCUAUUGUAUAUUGCAGUUUGUACAAAUUGUUCUGAGAAAUGCACUUAUUAUUUUGCACAUGUUAGGGAUGAUGUGAAAAACGCACCAAAGCGACUGAGAAAAACUGUAAAAGUGUAACUAGGAAUUAUAUCCAGUCUCUUUCAAUCAAUAUCCCACAUACAAUAAUGUGUAAAUUUGUACUUUUGAAAUGGAUAUAUUGCAUACAUAAGCAUAUGGCAUACUUUUCAAUACAGUAACUGUCAUCCAAAAUGUUGCCAUAGUUUACAUCAGAACAUCCCUCCAGAGUACACUGUUAUAUUGACAACAUGACUAAGCAAUUUGACUGUCUUAUCCUUACACAAUGACACAAGGACUUGUCAUUCUGAUGGCACUGACAUGUUCAUUGACACAGAUAUUUAUUUUUGAGAGAUGAACUAAGGAUUUGGAGCAAGAGACUGGCUUUUGCAGGUAAUCCAUGGUGUUUUACUAUUUGUACAAGUUGUUUUGAGAAAUGCACUUACUGUUUUGCAAAUGUCAAGGAUGACUCGAGAAAUGUUCCAAAGCGACUGAGAAAAACUGUAAACGCUUAAAGUUUGAAUAUUUUGAAGGCAAUACAGUCUGUCAGAGAUAGAUGGAUGGAUGGAUGGAUGGAUGGAUAGAUAGAUAGAUAGAUAGAUAGAUAGAUAGAUAGAUAGAUAGAUAGAUAGAUAGAUAGACAGAGAGAUAGAAAGAUAGAAAGAUAGAUAGAUAGAAAUAGUUAGAUGAUUGAUAGAUAGACAGCCCUUGUGAGGUCCAGAUCUGGACUACAGACAUGAGCCACACAUGAGCCAUAACUGCGUAGUUCCAGGCAGCUCUCUUGACCGCAUUAUAGUUCCAUAUCACUUUGCAUAGUAAAACCGUAAUAACGGUCACGCAGUUUGCACAAAAAGGUGUUGUCAGCUCUGCCCUGACGAUUUUAUCAGUUAGCCUAUACAGUGUAGCAACUUAAAGGCUACACAUGACAUUUCUCACUAGCGAUGUAAUAACAGCGCUGUUUAGAGAUGCUGCAGAACAGAAUCCUUCACAGAAAAACAGCUAUCCAAACUCAGCCUGUGCUGCCAGAAAUAUACAAACAACGUGUCUUGCAGGAGCUACAUAGUUAGUGGAAAGGACCAUAUCUUUAAUUGGAGACAGAUUCUUCUGGCCAAAAAUGCAGGGUGAAAUUGAAUAUGUUGUGACCAAGUGUUGUAACUGUUUUAAACAGGAGAAGUCAAGUAAAGAAAUUAGAGCACCACUCAUGAAUAUUGUCACCACCCACCCAUUUGAUCUUGUUUCCAUUGACUUUUUGCACCUCGGCAAGUGCAGAGGAGGGUAUGAAUAUAUUUUGGUGAUAGUUGAUCACUUCACGAGGUUUGCACAAGCUUACACCACCAUAUCGAAAUCUACCAAAACCGUUGCUGAAAGAAUCUUUAAUGACUAUGCACUGAAAUUUGGAUUUCCCAAAAGGAUUCAUCAUGACCAGGG